AAUCUCUCAACCUCAGUCUUUUAAUCGGGACGAAGGGUUGGAUUUGGACGUUGCAGGUCGUCUGACGGCCUGCUCGUCUUGAAAUGCAUUAGCGUUCCGCCGCGAGUUCGGUUUCGUAACGACGGUGUGAUAAGUAACACUUUGACGCCGUCUGGGACCGAGUCUUCGAGGACGCUUCUAAUCGUCUAAGGACAACUUCAUGU
rnacentral:misc_RNA from 1 species